CACGCUUUGAACAGGAACGCAUGCAUGAACAUCGGUAACCAUGCGGCACAGUAACAUAUCGUUGCCUUAUUUUUUGCCUUAUUAAGAAAUUGACUAUUCAGGUGACAAGCUGUCAACAAACAAAUCCAAAAUGAACUUUCUGGACAAUGAUUCUGUUUUAAGUCACACUUUGGUUACACGCGUGACUUGGAAAAGGAACGCAUGCGUGAACAUCGGUAACCAUGCGGCACAUUAAAAUAUCCUUGCCUUAUUAAGAAAUUGACUAUUCAGUUGACUCAACAAGAAAUGGCAUCGUCACUUGAGCGCAAUACAAAUACCCAAAAAUGGUCAUAUUAACACAAAAGGCAGAUUAUUCCGCGCGCCUCAUUUCACGUUCCCGUCCUGUUGCUCAACAGCCUAUUUCAUUAGUGCUAAACUUCCACCUCUAAACUUGUGGAAGUGUUCAUAGAGGUAACGAGCAGUGUCCACGCGCCCCCACGGCGUCAUUUAAAUCCGCUCAGUAAAAGAACCCUAAUCAGUAAUGAUAUCCUUCCUUUAUUAAGAAAUUGCGGUGAAAAGGCCUCAGUGCUGCAAUUAACACAACCAAUGUCUUAAUUCUUGCAAUGCAAAGCGCAUAAGAAAGACAGAGAAUUUCACCUAUUCCACAAAAAGACAAUAGCCUUGCAAAAAAAAGUCCAUGCAAACAAGAGUCAGGGAUUCCAGAAUCAUGCAUUGAUCAAAUUUAAACUUCAACACACUUAUAAAGAAUGUGCUUUUGAGAGUGAAGUCUUAGCAACAUUUCCACAACUGGAUUUCAUUUUAUUCAUCAUUACCUUGUUGUCUGUUUUUAUAUUUUUAAUAUUGGUCACUCAGACUUAUUGUCUUUCUUUAUGGUAUAAUUAUUAAUUUUUCACCAAUGUAAUUUGUGGUACUUUCACCACUAACUUUUAAAGUGUACAUGAAAUGAAUUUUUUUUAUUAGCUUAUUCGAAAGAGCUUUCAAAAUGAUGAAGAAUGGCAUUU